rnacentral:rRNA from 1 species
CGCAGAUCAGCAUGCUGUGGUGAAUACGUUCCCGGGCCUUGUACACACCGCCCGUCACACCAUGGGAGUCGGUAACACCCAAAGUUGGUAGUCUAACCGCAAGGAGGACGCCGCCUAAGGUGGGAUUGAUGACUGGGGUGAAGUCGUAACAAGGUAGC